AGGGAUAAGAUGGCAAUGCAGGCACAUUAUCAUGCAUUCAUUACCUAAUUUAAGAACUCAGUUAUUACCAGUGUGGGGAAAACACCUGCCUAGCAUACACAAAGCCCUGGCUCAAACCUCAGGCACCACAAAAGCAAAACCCAAAUAUUACCAGUACUAGGCAGGCCACUUAGCCCACUUUUAAUCCCAGCACUCUGGCUGGAGUUAGCAGCAGAUAGAUUUCUAUGAGUUCAGAGAUGAGCCUGAUCUACAUAUUGAGUCCCAGAACAGUUAGGGUCAUAUAGUGAGACCCUGCCUCAAAAACAAACAAACAAAAAGGCAUGCUUUAAUCCCAGCAGGAGAGAGGCAGAGGCCCACCGAUCUCUGAGUUCUAGCCUGGUCUACGGUGAAGGCAGUGGUGCUCAUUUUUUUAAAAUCCUGCUUUUAUUUACCCCAGGGGCCCAAGGGUCCACACUUCUCAACAGAAGCACUUUCUAAGCAGUUAUUUGAGGAUGCUGUGAAUACAACUUUGUUGCCUUCACCAGCGCUCCUCUCUCUUUAAAGUAAGAUCUUUUGUGUGGUCAGGCCUGGUAUCUGUGUAGUGAGAUCCUGUCUCAAGAACACCUGUUUUGAAUGUAUGUAUACAUGUUCAUGUGUGUAUGGGCAGCAGGCACUUGGGUGCCAUGGUGUACAUGUAGAGGUUAGAGGCUAGUAGCCUCAGGUGCCAGUCCUUGUCAGCUGAAAAGUCUCUUGUUUCCUCCUGUAUACAUACACCAGGCUAGCUGCCUCCUGACCUUCCAAAGUUUCUCCUGUCUCCCCCUCCCAGCUGACCACAGGAGAGCUGGGUCCCAGCUGUGUUGAUACCUCACCUGCCUAUAUUGUGCAGGUUCUGGGGAUUCAAAAUCAAUUCCUCACACUUGUGUGGCAAGCAUUUUACCACUGCCUGCUCCUCUCUAGGUGGCUUUCUGAGACUUUGUGAGAGCCCAGUCUGGAGGGGCUCCCAGGAGCUGGGGCUUUCCCCCUAACUCCAGUAACAACUCAUGGUACCUCCCAAAACAGCUGAGAGUCGGGAAAAACAAGAAUUAUGAAGCUGCUAGCCACACAACAAAGCAUACUAGUUUACAGUAUAAGUAAGAGUAUACUAAUGUUCAAAAGGCAUAGAUUACUACGUAAAAUUGUAACAACCGCUUAUUUUCAUUAUCAGUUAUGCAUUUUACAUAAUUGUAUGUGCUAUGUUCUUACAGGACCAGCACCGUGGGUUUGUCUACACCAGCGUCACCAUAAAGACAUGACUAAUGCACCUCCCUACAAAUUCACUACCCUGUGACAUCACUAGGCAAUAGAAAUUGUUCAGUUCCAUUAAAACAGAACCACCUUCCUAUGUGUGGCAUAAUACAGAUCAAAGGACAUUAUGUGGUAUAGAAUUAGCCUAUGUAAUCUCUAUCUCAUCAAGAGGAAAUAUCAAACAAAACAAAACUGGGGACACUGACAAAAUAGGUGACUGACAUUCUUCUUCUAUCAAGGAAUUAAAGACCGAGGGCUGAUGUUAUCACUCAACUGUUAAGAGAAUAUGCUGCUCUUGCAGAGGACUCAAGUUUGAUUCCCAACACAUCAGGCAGCUCACAAUCAAUUGUAAUUCUAGAUCCAGGGGAUCUGACAUCUGGCCUCCAUGAACGCCCACAUACAUGUGCAGUGUACAUGUAAAGACACCCUCACACGCACACGGAGGAAUAAAAUACAUCCAAAAAGUAAAGGCAGAAAUAGAAGAGAUUGGAGAACUACCGUAGACUGAGGACUGUGGAUAAAGGCAGUGGACAGUCCUAAAUGUGAUCCUGAGAAAGAAAAUGGCCAUUAGUGAAAACCCAGGCAGAUUUGUAGUUGAUUUGUAUUAUCAUGUCAAGGUUAAUUGCCCAAUUUUGAAAACUGUUCUUUUGUUAUAUAAAGGUAUGUGGGAGAAGCUGGUUGAAGUGUUUCUUCCUAUUCUGAUAAGUCCUCUGUAAGUCUAAAAUUACCUCAAAACUAAUCCAUCGCUGAUGUCUGAUGAGGCUUAGCAUAGUGUUUGCUUUUUAAGAUGCACAUCCUCCACUUUCCCUGUGUUUCACUUUUUCUUAUUAAUGCAUAGAAAUUGAUGAUGUAGCCAUGAUGCUACUACAUUGUUUUACACAUGACUACUCUCCUAAUCUGUUGGUCUUGAAACAAUAAUUUUUUAAUUUUUGUAUUGAUUCUUUGUGAAUUUCACAGCUUAUAACCCAAUCCCACUCAUCUCCCUGUCCUUCUAUAUCCACUCUCUGCCCUUGCAACCUCCCACAACAGAAAAAAAUAAAAUAAGAUUUAAAAC
rnacentral:lncRNA from 1 species